GAAGGUCAUACAUUUGAAGCAUUCUUGCAUCAACCUCCAGUCCAUGGAGAAGAAAAGCUCCAGAAGGAUGAAUGCAGCCUUGAAAGCAGUGCUGGGAUAUCAGUGGCAGUGACUGCAGGCAUAGAAUCCAGAAGGAGCAAGGGCUGAAGUGCCUGAAGUUAACAAGAAGAGCAGAACACCGUGAGAAAGGUUUCAGUCCAGUGACUCUGAUGAAAUCCUUGUUUGUGCUCUAUGAAAUGCAGGAGGGGGCAUCUGUGCUUGCAGUUUGUGGAGCUGGUCAUCAUGUUUAAUUAGAACGGUUAACAUGAACUUUUUAAAUGCCAGUGCUGUUUGUACAGUUUAAUAAAAUGUUGUGUCUAAUUGGGAAA